rnacentral:rRNA from 1 species
UGCGUAGGGGGCAAGCGUUGUCCGGAAUCAUUGGGCGUAAAGCGCGUGUAGGCGGUUCGGUAAGUCUGCUGUGAAAGUCCAGGGCUCAACCCUGGGAUGCCGGUGGAUACUGUCGGACUAGAGUACGGAAGAGGCAAGUGGAAUUCCCGGUGUAGCGGUGAAAUGCGUAGAUAUCGAGAGGAACACCUGCGGCGAAGGCGGGUUGCUGGGCUGACACUGACGCUGAUGCGCGAAAGCCAGGGGAGCGAACGGG